GAUGAACGCUGGCGGCGUGCCUAAUACAUGCAAGUAGAACGCUGAAGGAAGGAGCUUGCUCUUUCCGGAUGAGUUGCGAACGGGUGAGUAACGCGUAGGUAACCUGCCUGGUAGCGGGGGAUAACUAUUGGAAACGAUAGCUAAUACCGCAUAACAGUAGAUGUUGCAUGAUAUCUACUUAAAAGGUGCAAUUGCACCACUACCAGAUGGACCUGCGUUGUAUUAGCUAGUUGGUGAGGUAACGGCUCACCAAGGCGACGAUACAUAGCCGACCUGAGAGGGUGAUCGGCCACACUGGGACUGAGACACGGCCCAGACCCCUACGGGAGGCAGCAGUAGGGAAUCUUCGGCAAUGGACGGAAGUCUGACCGAGCAACGCCGCGUGAGUGAGGAAGGUUUUCGGAUCGUAAAGCUCGGUUGUAAGAGAAGAACGAGUGUGAGAGUGGAAAGUUCACACUGUGACGGUAGCUUACCAGAAAGGGACGGCUAACUACGUG
rnacentral:rRNA from 1 species